rnacentral:rRNA from 1 species
AUUGCCCUAGUAACGGCGAGUGAAGCGGCAGCAGCUCAAAUUUGAAAUCUGGCCUCCCGGGGUCCGAGUUGUAAUUUGCAGAGGGCGCUUUGGCAUCCGGGGCGGUCUAAGUUCCUUGGAACAGGACAUCGCAGAGGGUGAGAAUCCCGUUUGUGGUCGCCAGCCGUUUGCCGCGUAAAGCCCCUUCGACGAGUCGAGUUGUUUGGGAAUGCAGCUCUAAAUGGGAGGUAAAUUUCUUCUAAAGCUAAAUACCGGCCAGAGACCGAUAGCGCACAAGUAGAGUGAUCGAAAGAUGAAAAGCACUUUGGAAAGAGAGUCAAAAAGCACGUGAAAUUGUUGAAAGGGAAGCGCUUGCCGCCAGACGUGCCCGCAGUCGCUCAACCGGGCUCUCGCCCGGCGUACUCUUCUGCGGGCAGGCCAGCAUCAGCUCGGGCAGCCGGAUAAAGACCUCUGUCACGUAUCUUCCUUCGGGAUGACCUUAUAGGGGAGGUGCAAUGCGGUUAGCCCGGGCUGAGGUCCGCGCAUCUGCUAGGAUGCUGGCGUAAUGGCUGCAAGCGGCCCGUCUUGAAACACGGACCAAGGAGUCUAACAUCGAUGCGAGUGUUUGGGUGUCAAGCCCGGGCGCGCAAUGAAAGUGAAUGGAGGUGGGAACCCCCUUGGGGCGCACCAUCGACCGAUCCUGAUGUCUUCGGAUGGAUUUGAGUAAGAGCAUCGCUGUUGGGACCCGAAAGAUGGUGAACUAUGCUUGAAUAGGGUGAAGCCAGAGGAAACUCUGGUGGAGGCUCGCAGCGGUUCUGACGUGCAAAUCGAUCGUCAAAUUUGGGCAUAGGGCCGAAGACUAAUCGAACUAUCAGUACCUGGUCCU